GGGGGACAGAGUGACAGGUGGUGCAUGGUUGUCGUCAGCUCGUGUCGUGAGAUGUUGGGUUAAGUCCCGCAACGAGCGCAACCCUUAAGCUUAGUUGCCAUCAUUAAGUUGGGCACUCUAAGUUGACUGCCGGUGACAAACCGGAGGAAGGUGGGGAUGACGUCAAAUCAUCAUGCCCCUUAUGAUUUGGGCUACACACGUGCUACAAUGGACAAUACAAAGGGUAGCGAAACCGCGAGGUCAAGCAAAUCCCAUAAAGUUGUUCUCAGUUCGGAUUGUAGUCUGCAACUCGACUAUAUGAAGCUGGAAUCGCUAGUAAUCGUAGAUCAGCAUGCUACGGUGAAUACGUUCCCGGGUCUUGUACACACCGCCCGUCACACCACGAGAGUUUGUAACACCCGAAGCCGGUGGAGUAACCAUUUGGAGCUAGCCGUCGAAGGUGGGACAAAUGAUUGGGGUGAAGUCGUAACAAGGUAGCCGUAUCGGAAGGUGCGGCUGGAUCACCUCCUUUCUAAGGA
rnacentral:rRNA from 1 species